rnacentral:misc_RNA from 1 species
UACGUAGGGUGCAAGCGUUGUCCGGAAUCAUUGGGUGUAAAGGGUGCGUAGGCUGGCUCUUAAGUCUGAGGUGAAAUCUUGCCGCUUAACGGUAAAAUGGCCUUGGAUACUGGGAGUCUUGAAUCUGACAGAGGUCGGUGGAAUUCGUAGUGUAGCGGUGAAAUGCAUAGAUAUUACGAAGAACACCAGUGGCGAAGGCGGCCGGCUGGGUCAGUAUUGACGCUGAGGCACGAAAGCAUGGGGAGCGAACAGG